CGCCACUGCCGUAUAUUGCCCAUUACCGCCAGUGAACCCGGCACCGGGAGCGAGGCGGGGCCGGCCCCGGGCUGACCGGCGGGGCGGGCAGCGAGCUGCCGUCGUGCCCCGCGCGCCGCCCCCGGCCGGCCCGGCGGUGCCCGCAGCGCCUUUGUUCCGCGCUCGCCGGCAUGCCUGGGCUGCCGGCUGCCCUGCCGGGGUGGCCCCGGCAUCGCGGUGUCGCAGAGGUCCUCCUCUCGGGGUUUCCCUGCUGGCUGCCUUCAUGGCUUCACCGCCAGGGACAGGCCAUCGUUUCCCCAAAGACCGAAAAAAUAACGUUUUUCUGGAAAACACUAGGCUGGAGCUCCCCGGUUUUGAGCUAACAGUCCCUUUCCUACCUGUUCUUAUCCGUACAUUUACAUCUCUGCUACUAUGGCAAGCAGCGAGGGCUGCGGGAGUACAUUUGUGUAGAAGUCUCUGAUGAUUCUCAGCUUAAUCCUUCCCCACCCUGUACAUUUUUUAUUAGCCCGGUGAAUGGACUGCUGCCAUGGAGACGUCAAGCUCAGCUCAAAAUAGCUAAUAAGGCAGAAUUAGAAAGGGGAGCAUGGCCGGUUCAAAAGGGGGGAAGGGAAAAGGCAAUUUUAAGCACCGGCGGAUGAGAUGCGGCCAGGAGAGAGGGAAGGCACACGGGGAGAGAUGAAGGGCUCAGCCACGAAGACGCUGAGACAGAAUGAUGCUUCCUGAGGGGGGAAAUGUGGGGGCCAGCUCAGGCAACGUAUCCUCCUUCUCUGCCAUCCCAUGUGCCAUUUCAUUUCCUUGAAAAGCCUUCCAACCAAGGUUAUAAAUGCAUGCAAAAUACAGAGCUUCUGUUAUUUUUUUAAAAAGCAGAACAAAGGAAAUGCGGGGACAAAGGCACCGUGUGCAGUACGUCCUGAAGAUCAGAAAGGUUCGUGCUGCAGAGAAGUGCUUGAUGUCAUUUUCGUUAGGGAGGAUCCACCCAUGACACAGGCCUCCCAGUGCAACUGGGGGGCGAUAACAACCGGUCUCCGAUGAAUAACGUUUGUGGGUUGUCGUGAGGAAAUGGGGACUGAAUAUCCCAGCAAACGUUGAAUGGUUUCAGUAGCCUUCACUGCUCUAUCUGUCCUUUCAUUAUUCCGUUGUUAUUUUAAAAAUAGUGCUUUGAGAAAGGUUAAUGUGAAUUAUAACCGCUGCCUAGACUAGAAGCAUUAUCCUGCCUGACUGCUUUAACAUAAAACUAUUUUGGCAGUUAAAAUUCUCAUUUUUAUAAAUGGGAGUUAUUUCUCAAAUCUUUUACACAAACUUCAGUACCGAGAAUAUUUCCUGACCUGACUACUAAAACCUCAAUAAAGUAAACUAAAUAAUAUAGUUUUUACUCUAUGGGGGAAAAAUAAGAGUUGUGAUUAUAUACCUACAAAAAAGGCCGUGCCAGUGUAUAAUUCAAGUUUUCGAUGCACUGUUGUCCCACAGUCCACCAAGAACAGUUUGAGGAGGCUGCUAGAAGGAAUUCUAUUUCAGAGGAAUUAGAGGUUAUUAUUUUAAUUAUCUGGUAUUUCUUUCUACCACUUACAGGAAGAGCUUCCAUCUCCCUAAGCACUUCCUCUCCAUUUAAAGAUAAGAAUUUCCAAGUGGUAAUCUAGAGCACGUAAUGAGUAAAAACAUUGCUAUCAGAUUACAGUUUCUGUAUAGUAAGAGGCAAGCACCAAUGCCACAUAAUCAAGUGCCUUGUGUAUUUCUAGACAUUCAAAUACACCCACGUGCACUCUUGAGAGACACCGUUAAUGUAAUCGCAGCAAGCAAAUUAUUUUCCUUUUCUUUACUGUAGGUCAUAGAUCAUCUAUCAGAGCUCUGCUGCCGUUUUCUGUGCCAUUUUUACAGUCAUAUUACAAUUUUGAUAAGUAAACACCCUUCUCACAGCCUUCUGAGUUUGUUUUGGGUUACAAGCAUACUAGUUUCUGUGACUUUUUUUCUGUUUUUACUGCAUUUCUUUAUGUAGUGUUUUUUGUUGUUGUUUAUUUUCUUCUUCAGCUUGCCUUUUAAAAUAAUUCUUGAUUUUACUGUUGUCCAUCACCUUGGGAUGGAUUCCUUUUCUCCUUAUGCUUUCUUUUUAAGUUUCCUUCUCCCUUACUUUUCUCAUAAACUUUUACUUCCUUCAGUGUAGAUGAGGUGUAGACUAGGAUAAAAUCUUUACAUAACAUGAACAUAGUAUCAUUGUAGAUGCAGAGGAAUAAGUGCAGCUCAGUGUUAGCAGGUCAGAGAAAACAAAGGCUUUUUUACUAACACUUUGCUUGUGGCACAUGCCACAAAUGCUACAGUAGCCUGUUUUCUAGCGAAUAUUUGUCCUCCAGUACCAACUGGCCCUGUACAUUCAAAACCCAGUGAAACUGGAGGAUAUCCUCCUCAAUUUGUACCUUUGCCUGCCAAAGCUUGUCAUCCAUAGUACUACAGGAGGCAUUUCCACUUUCCAUUGGCAAGGCUGAAAGGAGGAUUUUUUUUGUUCCAUCAUUCCCUAUCACAGCUGGGCAUAAGCAGCAUUCAGUGGUUAGUGUUCCGAUUUGUGGUUUCUUCUUCAUGAACUUUUAAUGAUCACAUCCUGAUCAUGAAUUGUUUCUUUGUUUAACAGCUCGUAAAGAGGCAGAAACAGACAAGCAGGCAGCUCUUCAGGUAAAAAAAAAGGCAGCACUUGGCUUCCAGCUGCUCAGGACACAGAGGUUCCUCGCAGAAAACUGGUUUAUCACACUCAACUGCAAAGCCAGCUCCAGGAAGAGAGACAAAAGCGCAUUGGGAAGACGCGUAUGGGACAUUCCUGGUCAGUGUCACACUGGUACUGCUGUAAGCUUCCCUCUAGCUACUCACACACCAUUUGUAUUUUAAGUCCUUACUUAAAACUUUAUUUGAAUAGUGAACAUUAGCAGAAACUGUGUUGAUUCUCUUUCCAUCACAGUAAAAUGCCUCUUGCUGUAACAUCUGGCAUUCUGUACUUCUGCAAUCUAGGCUACGUAGUCACUCUUAAAAUGAAUUUUGACUACAUGAAAUUGAACAGGGAACACAAGCUAAGGCUUGGCUAGGAAUAAUUUGUUACAUAAUUAGCACAGUGACAAGAGUAAAUCAGAACCUGUAUUCUAUCAAGUAUGGUAGGCAUAGGGAUUGUUCUCAUGUUUCUUUUCCAACCUGCUGUUUUCAGUUGCUUGCAUCCAUCAGAAUUUUUUCCAAUUUUUCAUUUGUUUGAAAGCGGUCCUUUUAUUUCUAGAAAGUCUGAUGGGGAGAGAGCCUUGGAUGUUCUUUUGAUCAAACUGUAUUCACAAUAGCUACAGAACUUCAGAAAAUUAAAUAGAUAGCUCUAAAAGCUGUACUGAUUUUGGAUAUAAUAAGUUGGAGAUGAAAAAAUAUUUGGCAAGUCAAACUGCAUUUUUAGGUGACAACAUGUUUCAGGAUUCGAGAAUGGAACCCUGCGAUCAGUAAAUCUUUUAACGUCAUUACCUUGUGAGCCUGGCCUUUUCAUUCUCUUGAGCUAGCCUAGAUGGGAAAACAACAGCAGGUGACACACCAGACAGCAGGUACACCAACAGCAGGUGACAACAGCAGCGUACCCAACAGUGGUGGUGACAGCCAAGCAGCUGGUGCACUGCUGGCAGGAACAGCUCACCUGAAGACUUGGCACUAAUGUUUAGAGAUUUUAGGUCCAUCCAAGAGCUCUACAGAAAGCCAGAGUGUUUUCAAGCUUUUGUACAACUGCCUGGAGGAUAUUAACGUAAGCUGAGAAAUCUGGUUGUGUUCUGAAUUCAGACAAGGCUGUAUGUUCUAAGCAAAUUGCUCUAUCUGCGGAAGAUUAAUGAUUGAGCUCCUCCUUUUUGUAAGGCCUUGCAUAAAUUCUCAACGUAGAAAUUUGGGAUCAGCAUAGAUUUUUUUUUUCAGAUUUGACAAGUCUUACAGCCUUGAGAUGUUGUUACCAACAGAUCAAACUCUGGAAUGCCACUUCAGCAAUAAAAAUAGCAGUAUCAAGUCUU